rnacentral:rRNA from 1 species
UCUCCGUUGGUGAACCAGCGGAGGGAUCAUUACAGAGUUCUACAACUCCCAACCCCUGCGAACCGUACCCCAGUUUGUUCUCGUUGCCUCCUGGCGGCGGGCCCCCGGCGCCACCGCCUGGGGGCCCCCGCCAGCGGCGGCGAGCCCUCUGAACCUUUUUCUCUCAACCAGCCCGUCUGAGCAAAACAAACAAAUGAAUCAAAACUUUCAACAACGGAUCUCUUGGUUCUGGCAUCGAUGAAGAACGCAGCGAAAUGCGAUACGUAAUGUGAAUUGCAGAAUUCAGCGAACCAUCGAAUCUUUGAACGCACAUUGCGCCUGCCAGCAUUCUGGCAGGCAUGCCUGUCCGAGCGUCAUUUCCCCCCUCACGCGCCCCGUCUGCGCGCUGGUGUUGGGGCUCCUCCGCCUGGCGGAGGGCCCUGAAAGCGAGUGGCGGGCCUGGCUGGUUGGCUCCGAGCGCAGUACCGAACGCACCGUUCCUCCCUCGCUCGCGGGCCCCGCCGGCGCCCAGCCGUCAAAACCGCAGCGCGCCCCGCGCGCUGCACUUUCACAAGGUUGACCUCGGAUCAGGUAGGACUACCCGCUGAACUUAA